rnacentral:rRNA from 1 species
UGGGGAAUCUUGCACAAUGGGGGAAACCCUGAUGCAGCGACGCCGCGUGAGCUAUGAAGGUUUUCGAAUCGUAAAGCUCUGUCCUAUGGGAAGAUAAUGACGGUACCAUAGGAGGAAGCCCCGGCUAACUACGUGCCAGCAGCCGCGGUAAUACGUAGGGGGCGAGCGUUGUCCGGAAUUACUGGGCGUAAAGGGUUCGCAGGCGGCAUGACAAGUCCGAUGUAAAAGGCGAAAGCUCAACUUUCGUAAGCAUCGGAAACUGUCAAGCUUGAGUGAAGGAGAGGCAAGUGGAAUUCCUAGUGUAGCGGUGGAAUACGUAGAUAUUAGGAGGAAUACCGGUGGCGAAGGCGACUUGCUGGACUUCAACUGACGCUGAGGAACGAAAGCGUGGGUAGCAAACAGG